UCAGGGAGAAGUCUCUUCGGGGAUGAUUAAACCGGCGCACGGGUGAGUAACACGUGAGUGACCUGCCUUUUAGACUGGAACAACUUACCGAAAGGUGAGCUAAUGCCGGAUGAGUUAUAUAAGUGCAUGUUUAUAUAGGAAAAGUUGGGGAGACCUGACGCUGAAAGAUGGACUCGCGUCCCAUUAGCUAGUUGGUAGGGUAAUGGCCUACCAAGGCGACGAUGGGUAGCCGGCCUGAGAGGGUGGCCGGCCACACUGGGACUGAGACACGGCCCAGACUCCUACGGGAGGCAGCAGUGGGGAAUUUUGCGCAAUGCUCGUAAGAGUGACGCAGCGACGCCGCGUGAAUGACGAAGGCCUUCGGGUCGUAAAGUUCUUUCGACAGGGAAGAAAAUGCCUAUAAGUAACUGUGUAUGUAUUGACGGUACCUGUAUAAGCAGCCCCGGCUAACUCCGUGCCAGCAGCCGCGGUAAUACGGAGGGGGCGAGCGUUGUUCGGAGUGACUGGGCGUAAAGAGCACGUAGGCGGUGUUGUAAGUCAUUAGUCAAAGACUAGAGCUCAACUUUAGUAAGGCUAGUGAUACUAUAAUACUAGAGUAUCAGAGAGGAUUGCAGAAUUCCUGGUGUAGCGGUGAAAUGCGUAGAUAUCAGGAGGAAUACCGUUAGCGAAGGCGGCAAUCUGGCUGGAAACUGACGCUGAGGUGCGAAAGCGUGGGUAGCAAACAGGAUUAGAUACCCUGGUAGUCCACGCUGUAAACGAUGGAUGCUAGGUGUUGGGCUUUUAAGUUCAGUGCCGCA
rnacentral:rRNA from 1 species